AGAAUAGUGACUCUCAAACCUGACUGGACCUCACAAUGCUCUGGGAGUUUACUAUGAACAUUAAAAAGUCCAUCUCCAGAAAUUCUGAUUCAAUAAAUCUGAGGAUAAAUCAAAGGAUAAGUAUUUUAGAAAAUAGAUCACAGGGUGAUUUCAGCGCAGCUGGGAUACUUCUGGUUCUAACAUUCUAUGGUUCUCUUUCACAGAUUGCUGAUAUCUGCAUGCAGGGCUUAGGUCCUAAAUAUGGCAUAAUCAAGAUUAUCCACGGAGAUCCCUUAAGUUGCUCACCAGUGCUCUUAUGUAUACAACUUUCCUGGCUAAUUGUUAUGAUUUUCACUAAACUUUGAAAACCACAGAGAAAAACUGAAAGGAAGAACAGAGUGUUGACUGUUGAAACCUGGCUCCCAGAAAAUAACCUGUAAAACAAGCUGUGGAGAAGGCUGAGCUGUACUUCCUGUGCACAGUGAUAAGGGGAGAUCCUCCUUGUCAGACUACACAGCAACCAGAAAGGAAGACAAAUUGGGAUAUGCAUCAGGUUUCAAAACUGGCCUUGCAAUGGGUUUGGCCAAGGAUCAUGAUAAGAUUGUUUAGGAUCAGUGGACACAAGGUGAAGCUUUCAAAGAGUCUUAGAGAGUAAACAGUCGUUUUAAUGGUAUCUAUUGAAAAGUUUAUGGAUUUUAUGUUGAUUUCAGUGAGAACUGGGGGGAAGUUCUUAACAAUCAAAUUAUUUGCAAAUUUUAUCUCUCUGGUCAAGAGGUUUUUGGAAUAAAGACAGAGGAAUGAUAAAGUCUAUAAAUGUAGGCAGUAAACUCCACGGAUGUUAGUGGUUUCCCAGGUCUCAAUAUUAUGCAUAUAUCUUGCUUUCUAAAACAUUUCUGCCUCUAAGAUAAUUAUUAAUCUCUUGAAAGGCUGAUGGGGAAUGGAUGGUGAAUUGUAAAUCUGUUUUAUUUGAAGUGCAGUCCAUAAACCAAUGUUGAUCCAGAUCCUGUUAUUGGUCUGCAAAUAUAUAAAUACAGAAAUUGUGGUUUUAGAAACUUUG
rnacentral:lncRNA from 1 species